GAUGAACGCUGGCGGCGUGCUUAACACAUGCAAAGUCGAACGGAGUUACAUGAAACCUAGUGAUUGUAACUUAGUGGCGGACGGGUGAGUAACACGGUGAGCAACCUGCCUUUCAGAGGGGAAUAACGUUUGGAAACGAACGCUAAUACCGGCAUAACGUAUCUUGAUGGCAUCUUCGAGAUACCAAAGGAGCAAUCCGCCGAAAGAUGGGCUCGCGUCCGAUUAGAUAGUUGGUGAGGUAACGGCUCACCUAGGCGACGAUCUCUAGCUGGUCUGAGAGGAUGAUCAGCCACAUUGGGACUGAGACACGGCCCAGACUCCUACGGGAGGCAGCAGUAGGGAAUAUUGCACAAUGGAGGAAACUCUGAUGCAGCCAUGCCGCGUGUGUGAAGAAGGCCUUCGGGUUGUAAAGCACUUUCGGAGGGGUAGGAAAAGAUGACGUUACCCUCAGAAGAAGCACCGGCUAACUCCGUG
rnacentral:rRNA from 1 species